rnacentral:rRNA from 1 species
UACGAAGGUCCCAUGCGUUAUCCGGAAUUAUUGGGCGUAAAGCGCAUGUAGGCGGUUUGUUAAGUCUGGUGUGAAAGCUCAAGGCCUAACCUUGAAAUUGCAUUGGAAACUGGCAAACUAGAAUACUGGAGGGGUAAGUGGAAUUCCAUGUGUAGCGGUGGAAUGCGUAGAUAUAUGGAGGAACACCAAUGGCGAAGGCAGCUUACUGGACAGUUAUUGACGCUGAGAUGCGAAAGCGUGGGGAGCAAACAGG